rnacentral:rRNA from 1 species
UACGUAGGGGGCAAGCGUUGUCCGGAUUUAUUGGGCGUAAAGAGCUUGUAGGCGGUUUGGUAGGUCCGCUGUGAAAACUCGAGGCUCAACCUCGAGACGCCGAUGGAAACCAUCGAACUAGAGUCCGGAAGAGGAGAGUGGAAUUCCUGGUGUAGCGGUGAAAUGCGCAGAUAUCAGGAAGAACACCCGUGGCUAAGGCGGCUCUCUAGUACGGUACUGACGCUGAGACGCGAAAGCGUGGGGAGCGAACAGG